rnacentral:rRNA from 1 species
UACGAAGGGGGCGAGCGUUGUUCGGAUUUACUGGGCGUAAAGGGCGCGCAGGCGGCUAUCCAAGUCAGGCGUGAAAGCCCCGGGCUUAACCUGGGAGGUGGCGUCUGGGACUGGGUGGCUAGAGUUCGGGAGAGGAGAGUGGAAUUCCUGGUGUAGCGGUGGAAUGCGCAGAUAUCAGGAAGAACACCCGUGGCGAAGGCGGCUCUCUGGAACGCAACUGACGCUGAGACGCGAAAGCGUGGGGAGCAAACAGG